UACGAGCUGAAGCUCUGGGUCACCUCCCACCCGUGUUUAUCGUACCUUGUUGCUUCGGCGGGCCCGCCUCACGGCCGCCGGGGGGCAUCCGCCCCCGGGCCCGCGCCCGCCGAAGACACACAAACGAACUCUUGUCUGAAGAUUGCAGUCUGAGUACUUGACUAAAUCAGUUAAAACUUUCAACAACGGAUCUCUUGGUUCCGGCAUCGAUGAAGAACGCAGCGAAAUGCGAUAAGUAAUGUGAAUUGCAGAAUUCAGUGAAUCAUCGAGUCUUUGAACGCACAUUGCGCCCCCUGGUAUUCCGGGGGGCAUGCCUGUCCGAGCGUCAUUGCUGCCCUCAAGCACGGCUUGUGUGUUGGGCUCUCGCCCCCCGCUUCCGGGGGGCGGGCCCGAAAGGCAGCGGCGGCACCGCGUCCGGUCCUCGAGCGUAUGGGGCUUCGUCACCCGCUCUGUAGGCCCGGCCGGCGCCCGCCGGCGAACACCAUCAAUCUUAACCAGGUUGACCUCGGAUCAUGUAGGGAUACCCGCUGAACUUAAGCAUAC
rnacentral:rRNA from 1 species